rnacentral:rRNA from 1 species
AAAGCUCGUAGUUGGAUUUCUGCGCUCGCCGAGCGGCGGUCUUUGGCCGACCACUCCGCAAGUUCAUCCUCGCCCCUCGGGGCGUCAUUUACUGUGAAAAAAUUAGAGUGUUUAAAGCAGGCUUUAGGCUUGAAUACAUUAGCAUGGAAUAAUGAGAUAGGACCAAGUCGUAUCUUGUUGGUUGCGCGAUUCGGUAAUGAUUAAUAGGGACAGUUGGGGGUAUUCAUAUUUAAUUGUCAGAGGUGAAAUUCUUAGAUUUAUUAAAGAUGAACUACUGCGAAAGCAUUUACCAAGGAUGUUUUCAUUAAUCAAGAACGAAAGUCAGGGGAUCGAAGAGGAUUAGAUACCCUCGUAGUCUUGACCAUAAACUAUGCCGACUCAGGAUUGGCACCCCUUUUUUAACAGGGUGUCAGCACUGUAUGAAAAAUCAAAGUCUUUGGGUUCCGGGGGGAGUAUGGUCGCAAGGCUGAAACUUAGAGGAAUUGACGGAAGGGCACCACCAGGAGUGGAGCCUGCGGCUUAAUUUGACUCAACACGGGGAAACUUACCAGGUCCAGACAUG